rnacentral:rRNA from 1 species
AGUGAACGCUGGCGGUAGGCCUAACACAUGCAAGUCGAACGGCAGCACACUAAGCGCUUGCUCUUUCGGUUGGCGCGUCGCGGACGUGUGCGGAAUACAUCGGAAUCUACUUUUUCGUGUGGGUUUUCGUAGGGAAUCUUACUCUAAUACCUCAUACGACCUACGGGUGUAAUCAUUUGAUCUUCGGACCUUUUGCGUUUGUAUGAGCCGAUGUCGGAUUUGUUAGUUGGCGGGGUAAAGGCCCACCGUGGCGACGAUCCGUAGCUGGUCUGAGAGGAUGAUCAGCCACAAUGGAAGUGAGACACGGUACAGAAGACUACGGGAGGAAGCAGUGGGGAAUAUGGGACAAAGGGCGCAAGCGUGAUCGAGCAAUACCGAGUGGGUGAAGAAGAACUUCGGGUUGGAAAGCCCUUUUGUUGGGAAAGAAAAGCAGCAGGUUAAUACCGCGCUGUACUGACGGUACCCAAAGAAUAAGCACCGGCUAACUUCGUG